CAGGGAUUGGUUGAUCCCAGGAAGAAGGUGGGGCCUUGACGCGGGAGGGAGGCGGGCCCGGAGUCUCCAGAGGCUCCGUCUAUUGGUCCCGCCCCCUUACUGGAAUUCCGGCCCGCGCAGGUAAGGCCGAACCUUUAGUGAAGCCGUCGUACGUCUAGUAGUUCUCCCAGCAACCGGUGACGCACCGGCGUGAGGCAGGCCACUGGCCAACACGGGAGAGCGGGGCUGGAGCGUGACCCUCAAUCCCGAGGCACCUCCCAGUUCCCCCCACUAGGCCGCCUCGCGCUCCUUCCCUCCCUUCCCCGCCACAGUCCCGCAAUCCGGGAGGCGGGGGUCAGCGACCCAGCUGAGUGGGAGCCGCGCGGUGUCCGAGGAGCCAGUCGGCGACCGGUGAGGGGACCGAGGGGCGGGAGGGAGGGUUAGCGCGGGGCAGCCAUCCCCAAUUGUCGCCCGGCUUUUUCCCUCAGCUUCGGGCGGCCAGCGUCUGCCGCCGUGAAGAACGCCGCCCUGGCAACUAGUGACGCAGAGGCCCAGCGGAGCAAGGGAUUGGCCGGCCCGCGUCCGCUGCUGCCGCGCGGCCUGCUCCUCCCAGGCCUUGCCCUCCGUCUGUCCUCACCAGUUUUCCCGCUGUGACCUUCGUUGCUGGCGGCCCCACGACGCAAAUAUCGCCAGGCUGAGUCCGAAAAAAAAGGGCAGCGGCAGCCUCCGGGUCCCGACCAUAUUAAACGCCCCCUACUCUACACUACGUUUUUGGUACCCUGUCUUGCCCUUCGGGUGGGCUGGCGCCUAGAGCAAAGAGUUGAGAUAGGCCCAGGGAUGGGAAAUUUCGUCCUAGGAGAAUCUGACCAGCAACUCGUGACGAAAACUAACUGACGCGCCCGGGAUUGGCUGCGCUGCGGAGGGGGGCCAGGGAAGGCGAUCUGCUCAGAUUUUCUUCCAGGCAUAGACCGUUUCCUUCAAGGGCAAGCUCCAGUAUGGGGGCACAGCACACCCUGCUCCAGAGGCACAGAGAGAGAACAUCCUACAUCAGCCACUCCUGCCCAGUAGUACGGAGGGGAGCAGAAGCUUCAGAGCCCACUCCUGCAGGGCUCAUGGUACAUGGUAAACCUAGCUGCAGCCCACCUCUGAAACAGCCACAGCACCUGCCAUGAGAGAAGGAACCCUGGAAUCUACAGACCAAUUUUCCAGGUCUCUCUUUCCCUUUGCUACUGUUCCCUUUCUAUGCCUUAAAAAUAACGCAGAUGGAGAAGGUGGACUCCAGAGUGUGAGUGGCACUCUGCACCCUGAGGG
rnacentral:lncRNA from 1 species